rnacentral:lncRNA from 1 species
AGACCCUCGACGGACUUCAGGAGAGGUGGGAAGAUCAAUUAAAAGAAAUUGUUUUUGCCCACAACUCUUGUGUUCAGUCUUCUUCUAGGUUCUCGCCUUUCCGCCUGAUGUAUGGGCGUGAGCCACGACUCUUUUGUGAGGUCACUGGAGGAGACUCUCCGGAGGAGGCGGACGUCGACAGUCCAGAUGAGGCGGACGUCGAGGCCUAUGUCGAGGAGCGACACAGGAAAGAUGCCGAGGUUUUUGAAAAGGUAAGUAAAUAUUUAGCGAGUUGACACCUGUAGCGUGUGGACAAUGUUAACAAAGGUCAGUUGUGCACAAAAUUGCUUUGUUACAUAACCAGGUGCAUGCCAACCUGGAGAGGGCCCAGCAGAGACAGAGAAAUGCCUACAGGAAGAGGAUUAAGAAGGGGACCAAGAGGUAUCCUAUCAGGCCAGGGAUGGUGGUGUUGAAGAAGGAUGAGCGGAAGCGCGGGAGGCCAGGCAUGACGAUGAAGCCUACUUGGCCAAACAAGUACAAGGUGGUGAAGGUGGAGGACAAUUUUGUGGAGCUGGAGACCAUGGAUGGAAUCCCUCUGACUUCCAGGACACCCUACGCUUCAGGUCCCAGACAGGCCACCCCAUUGAGGAGACUGUAGAGGUUUCCUCUGACAGCUCUAUGUCGGGGAGCGACACCCGUGAGGUGACAUGCACUGUACCUCCUGGCACACUGUCCCCACAAGAAGAGACCGGACAGUCUUAUGGUCUACCCGGCUCUGUGACAGAGGACUACAGGCUGGAGGUAAUAUCACAAACAGACAUGUAAAAAUAGUCUGGUUCGGCCAGACUUAACUGCUGGAUAAUAUUGCUAUUGUUAUUCUCAUAUUCAUUAGCCAGUUACUGUUUUGUGUGUUUCUCAGGACAGUGAUGUUAUCAUCUCGGGUGUCCAGUCAGGCAAACCUGUUCUGGCGUCACUGAGUGACA